rnacentral:rRNA from 1 species
GUAGGUGGCAAGCGUUGUCCGGAAUUAUUGGGCGUAAAGCGCGCGCAGGUGGGUUCUUUAAGUCUGAUGUGAAAGCCCCCGGGCUCAACCGGGGAGGGUCAUUGGAAACUGGGGAACUUGGGUGCAGGAGAGGAAAGUGGAAUUCCACGUGUAGCGGUGAAAUGCGUAGAUAUGUGGAGGAACACCAGUGGCGAAGGCGACUUUCUGGCCUGUAACUGACACUGAGGCGCGAAAGCGUGGGGAGCAAACAGGAUUAGAUACCCUGGUAGUCCACGCCGUAAACGAUGAGUGCUAAGUGUUGGGGGGUUUCCGCCCCUCAGUGCUGCAGCUAACGCAUUAAGCACUCCGCCUGGGGAGUACGGUCGCAAAGACUG